GGAUUUACUUCAGCUGAACAUUGUGAUGUGUUUCACAAUGUAGUUAAGUGUUUUUAUGCUGACCUUGGCUGCAGCAAGUGGUACUUCAAUAUUAAGCCAGAGUAUCUAGGCUUCUUUGGAAGUACACCUCCUAUGCAAGAGAUAUUAGUUGGUGAGGUUUGAGACAAGGGCAUUCCUGCGAGUAUGUUAAAGGUUUGUGGAUGCGUAGAAUUGGAGCUUAUCAAGAGAUGGUGUUGUCUUCCCCAGGUAAAGAAAGGUACGCCUUCCCCUUUUUUUUGUCAUUUCUCCAUUUUUUUUUUUCUAUCUUUGUUUUGUUUUUUAUUUUUAUUUUUUUUCCUCCAGUUUUAGACAUUUCAAGAAAGUGUCAAAUUGCCUGUGCCAUGAAACAUGGCCAUCUUUUUUCCAUUUCAAUGAACACCAUACCUCUCCUUUAGUUCAGCACAUAUUGGGAGAUUCAAGUUCCUUGACUAAGCCUCAUGAGUCCAUCCACAU
rnacentral:lncRNA from 1 species